rnacentral:rRNA from 1 species
GACGAACGCUGGCGGCGUGCUUAACACAUGCAAGUCGAACGGAAAGGCCCUGCUUUUGUGGGGUGCUCGAGUGGCGAACGGGUGAGUAAAACGUGAGUAAAAUGCACUUGACUUUGGGAUAACUUCAGGAAACUGGGGCUAAUACCGGGUAGAAGCUCCUGCUCCAUGGUGGGGGUUGGAAAGUUUCGGCGGUUGGGGAUGGACUCGCGGCUUAUCAGCUUGUUGGUGGGGUAGUGGCUUACCAAGGCUUUGACGGGUAGCCGGCCUGAGAGGGUGACCGGCCACAUUGGGACUGAGAUACGGACCAGACUCCUACGGGAGGCAGUAGUGGGGAAUAUGGCACAACGGGCGGAAGCCUGAUGCAGCAAUGCCGCGUGCGGGAUAACGGCCUUCGGGUUGUAAACCGCUUUCGCCGGUGACGAAGCGUGAGUGACGGUAAUGGGUAAAGAAGCACCGGCUAACUACGUG